AUUCAAUCCGAAAAAUAUAUCCACUAUCAACAAAUAGCUCAAAGAAAAUGACAAUUUAACCACAAAGGGGUCGAAUGAAAAUGUAGCAAGCAAUGAGGAUGAAAGUAAUGUGCAUUUUUCCGACUUCACUGAUUGCAUGAAAAUUGAUUUAUGAUUAAGUUUGAUAAUGUGGUGGAAGUCUAUAUAGUUGGAUUUGAAUCGGAUGGAAUAGGCAAGUCCUAUUAUAUGGAAAUAGGCAGUGUUGAGUUUUGGAGAUCCAAUGAAGAGUGGAACAAAGUCAAAAGAAUAAAAAUGGGCAAGGCAUCCAAAACCUUCUUUAGGUGCCCAUGAUUUAAAGGCCAAAGUCGAGUUAAAGAUUAUAAAAAGGAACUUGUGGAAAGGCAACCCAACUUUUUAAUUUUUAAUCUUUUUAUUUAAUUUUAUGCAUUUUUCUUAUUUUUAUUUGAUUAGCUAUCAUUGUUUUGGUAGUUAAUUUUUGAAAUCCCACAUAUCAUGGUUCCUCACAAGUUUGGGAGUAAAUUGUUUUACAAGACAGACACUAGCCCAAGUUCAUCAAGAGCAUCACAAAUCCAAGUCAAGCAUUGGUACCCCUUCACCGAAUGUCUAAUUGGGAAAGUUUCGUUAUCCCUCUUCUCUUUUAUCUUGUUUUUUACAUAUUAAGGACAAUGUGUGAUUUAAGUUCGAGGGUGAUUGUGCUUAAAUUGGUGGUGUUGUAAUGAUAUGUUAGAUAGCCUUGCCAGCUUAGGAUGGUUUGAUGUUUGAAAUUCUUAUUGAUUCAUAAGCUAUGCAUGACCAAAUGUGCUAUUUGUGCCUAAUUUUUUCAAUUGCUUAUCCUUUUUAAGAUCUUGAAUUAUUUUGAGCAUAAUAGUCAUGACUAAUUGUUAUCUAGAUAUGAAAACUUUUGAUUGAUGGAGAGACUUUGAAUUGGUAAGAACUAGGCUGUGAGUUGCUUGAAAUUUUAUAUCAACAUAUACUUUCUUUUCUUUCACUUUACUAUAUUGUGAGAUAAGUUUGGGGUGAUCGAGCCAGUGAAGGAUAUUAUCUAGAAGAGUGUAAUUCCGGUGCCUGUUGAAAAUAUUUGUGUGGAGUAUCUUUUCCCAUUUAUAAGCUAGGUAUUAAUCAUAUGCUAGGUAUCUAAGCCUCAUUUUUGUUGCUCUUUAAACAAAUUGAAAAAAAAAA
rnacentral:lncRNA from 1 species